AGCGUAGGCGGGAUCGUAAGUUAGGAGUUUAAUACAUGGGCUUAACCCGUGGCUGGCUUUUAAUACUGCGGUUCUUGAGUAUGGGAGAGGGCGAUGGAAUUCCAGGUGUAGCGGUGGAAUGCGUAGAUAUCUGGAAGAACACCAGUAGCGAAGGCGGUCGCCUGGCCUAAUACUGACGCUGAGGCUCGAAAGCUAGGGGAGCAAACAGGAUUAGAUACCCUGGUAGUCCUAGCCGUAAACGAUGAACACUAGUUGCCGGAGGAGUCAAUCUUUUUGGUGACAAAGCUAACGCAUUAAGUGUUCCGCCUGGGAAGUACGCUCGCAAGAGUGAA
rnacentral:rRNA from 1 species